rnacentral:rRNA from 1 species
UGUAAGCGUAUACCAAAGUUGUUGCAGUUAAAACGCUCGUAGUCGGAAUUUGGCAGUUCCGGAUGUGUGCACGUCGUGUGCGCACUUCGCGGGGAUUGCUUUUGUGGUCUUGCGUAGGAUGAGGCACUUUUAUUAGUGAACGUCCUCACGCAACCACUUUUUACUGUGAGAAAAUCAGAGUGCUCAAAGCAGGCAUUUGCCGUGAAUGUAUUAGCAUGGAAUAAUAGAAUAGGACUUGGUUCUAUUUUGUUGGUUUGUUGGGACUGAGUAAUGAUUAAGAGGGACAGUUGGGGGCAUUUGUAUUUCGGUGCUAGAGGUGAAAUUUUUAGAUUACCGAAAGACAAACUGCUGCGAAAGCGUCUGCCAAGGAUGUUUUCAUUGA